rnacentral:misc_RNA from 1 species
AAGAGUUGCAAAACUCCCAAACCAUUGUGAACAUACCUUCAACGUUGCUUCGGCGGGUUGGCCCCGGUCUCCGGGGCCCCCGGCCCUCACGGGCGCCCGCCGGAGGUACCUAACUCUUGAACUUUUAGGCCUCUCUGAGUCUUUGUACUUAAUAAGUCA